ACCCUCGGCAUCCCCGGCACGGGUGUUCCCGGGCGGAUCCCACCCGCUCCCCUCAGCCGCUGAGCCCGCCCUGCGCUGCCCCUUUAUCCUCGCAGCGCCACGUGUCCAGAACUUUAUUUAUUAUUAAUAUAAUUAUUUAAUAUAAACAUAAAGCAACCCCAACCGGUGGAUAUGGAUAUGGGAAAUGGAUAUGGACAUGGAAAGCUGCCGGGCUUCAGGGACAGCGCUCUGAGGGAUGCACAGGCCGGGGGUUUUGGGGUGUUUGGAGCCGGGCGGGAUCCCAGGAUGGGCUGGGAUGAUCCAGCUCGGGAUAUUCCCGAUCCUGCAAUUCCACGUGUGGAGGCCGUGGCCGCUAGAUGAUGCUGCCGGGCAAGGGCCGGAGGCAGGAGGUGUUUGCAGGGAGAAGGAGGGGAAAUGGUGGAUUUUGUGCUCUCUGGUGAGGAGAGCUCUCAGCAGGGCGGGGAUCAGAAGUGCCCUCACACCGCUGGGUCUGCAUGGCGCUGGGAAAAGGAGGGAACAGCAGGGUGCUGGUUUAAUUAUCCCUCUUUAAUUAAAAACGGAGAGGGUGAGGUGGGUGUGUAAAUAAGGAGGAUGGAGGUGCUGAGGCUUUGCAGGAGCUGGUGGGGACUUGUUCUGAUGGUGACAGGACGGGGCUGGCCCGCUGCUGCGGCAGUGCUGGCCUGGUGACACCGUGCUGGCCACCGGCACCACGGCUGUGCCACGAAAUUCGCUGCCCACACACAUCACAGGCUUGCUGAUCUUAGAGGUCUCUUCCAACCUCAUUAUUCUGUGAUUCUGUGAUGGUGUCAGGGCCGUGGAGGCUGCCCAGCCUGGCCCCGGCCUGCUGUGGUUCAUCCUUCUCCUCCUUUCCGCAUCCCAGGCCGCCUUCCCCUCUCCGUGAGGGAUUUUGGGGUGGUUCAUUGCUGCCAGACCCUCUGGGGAAGGGUGGCAGGAGUGGGGGGAAGCCCUUCCACAUUUCAAGAGAUGUGUUCUCAAUCAGUACCUAUUUCAACUCGGUUUUUCAGGCCAAACAAAUUUGGCCAAGAGAAGAAAGGGACGGGAAAGCAGGAGGGAUGGGAGGGAAUGCCUGAAAUGUUAUCCUCUCUCCACAGCCCUUCAGAAAUGCUUCAGGGAAAAGAAUUCAUUUGAACUGAAAAUGAUCAGGGGUGGGGGGGAAGUAGAGCAGAGCAGCUGUCUGGAGCAGCUAGUGAGGCUGUUUAAUUAACACUGCACUUGGCUACCAGCUACCUUGGAGCCAAUUUCAGGACAUUUUUGUUGCCUGGCAGGUGAUCCACAGCUGCUGGAGGAGUUCUCCCAGCAACAGGAGACCUUCCCCAUGGCAGAGAGACAGCGGGGGGGUUAUUCAGCAGCCGUGAGUCAUCUGUACCUGCAUCUGGAAGGACUCUGUCCCCUCCCAGCCACGACAAGACUUUUCAUUCUUCUUCCCUUCUUUGCAUGCCAGCCUUGUUUUAAUUAGCUGUAUUUUUAAUCUCUGUGAGCAGAGUGAAAUCCCAAGCAAGGAAGUGGUUUUAUCCUGCUGGAAAACUUAAUUAAUGCUCCAUCAGAGAGUUUGAUUUCCAGGCGUGAUGAAGGACUUGUCCUGAUGCUGUGAUUUUCACGGGAAGCCUCCCUGGGGUGUUUGGAGCCGCAGUCAUGCUCCCGGGGAGGAAGGACACGCUCCUGCUGAUCACUGACUUGUCACCUCCUCCAGGUUGGAUCCCAGCUCCUGGAGAGCCAUUCCCAGUGUCCCGGCAGCACUGACCUCCGUGCUGGAGGCACAGAGUGGAACAGCUGAGGGAAUUAUGUUUGCUUCAUUCCCAGCAAGAGCCAAGGGCUGGAAAAAUCCAAACUGCUGGGAGCUCUGUCACUGGGAGCUUCUGAAUCCAGCCCAGGCGCCGUGACCUGCCCAGGCUGCCUGGCUCCGGGUCCAGGAGCUCCCAGGGAGGCUGGAGAGUUGUGGUGAGCCCUUUCCCUGGGUUUGCUCUGGAAUUGCCUCUGGUUGAGCCCUGGGGAGGGCAGGCAAGGGCUCUCCUCCUCCUGGGCAGAGCUGCAGUGCAAGCAGGGGAUACCUGUGGGAUGAGCUCUGGGCUGAUCCACUGCAGCUGCAGCUGGAGCAGCAGAUCCCUGGAAAACAGAGUGGAAAGGCACCCCGUGCUGCAGGGAGGGAGCAGGAGCAGCUCCUUUGUCUCCUUUACCUGCUCAAGCCCCAUCACAGCAGCCCCAGGGCUGAUCCAGGGAGGGUGGGAGAGACACAAACAACACCACAGUGGCACAGCACAAAAGUUUAUUUCGAAUCCCAAAUAUUUAUGAUCAACACCUGGUAAAUGGCCAGUGAGAUACAUUUGAUGGUGUCAUUAAUCUGCAAUAAAGCGUUUGUAUUUUUA